ACUCCGGUGGCACGCUGGUAAUCUCAGUACUUGAGACCAAGGGAGGAGAUCAGGUGUUCGAUACCUUCCUGAACUACAUAGCGAGUCUCUUUCUCAAAAGGGGGGAGGGAGGGUUGUUGUUGGGUUUUUUUGUUUUGUUUUCUUUUAGUGAGACCUCUGCUAGAGUUUCUCUAUUCUAAGCCAUGACCCACCUUUUGUGAGCUUUAAGCUCAUAGGACCUUAUUUCAAAAUUACUUUUCAAAAGGAAGUUUGUUGGGAAAUGCUUUUAUUCAUACUUGACAUAUUGUGACAAUACAAUUUGCCGUGACUGAAUAGUUUUCUCACAAAUCCUACAGAUGGAGGUAGGUAGCAUCGCCCCCGUGACCACCAUUUGCCCUCUCCAUUAUUUCAUUCAUUCAGCAAGUGUUCACUUUCUUCCCUCUAGACCCUGCCAAGCCUUUCAGCUAUCUACUUCCUGAGCAAUGAAGCCUGAGGUAAUGAGCUUUUAGAUUUAAACCAGAUUAGAUCUAAGACGAACGUGACCGUUGCUGUCUUGAAUCAGCCACAGGAGAGGUUCAUGGAACUAGGCCUAUUAAUAUCCCCUCAUGAGGAAAAGGUCCAUAUUCAGGAGCAAGUUGACCAGGACUCUUCCAUUAUUGAAGCUUCCCAUAAGUGACCCAAGGACUCCUCAGUGGUGUGGGUUCUUUGUGAAUCAUCCCUGCUACAGAAAAGAACAGGCUUCCCAAGGACAUCAAUUCAAAUGGCAUAAGACCAGGCACAUACCAUCACAUCAAGGCUGGAUCAAGGCAACCCAGUAGGAGGAAAGGGUUCCCACAAACAGGCAGAAGAGUCAAUGACAGCCCCAGCUGCCACAGGACAUCAAGCUAUUCAGCCAGAACAUAUAUGUACAGGACCUGGGUCACAUCCUGACAGGCUCUCUGAUCUCUUCCAGCCCCAGACCCCCAGAGCUCCACUUACAACCGGUUUGGCUGUAGGACUCUGCAUCUGUUCCCCAUCAGUUACUGGAUGAAGUCUCUCUGGUGUCUCUGAUGAUUUUUUUAGGUUCUGGUCCAGAACACUGUGCAGGCAGAACAAACUAUAAGUGGAAGAUUUUGUGGCUGGGUUGGUGUCCCCGUCACUCGACUUGAGGCCUUGACUAAUUACAGAAGAUGGCCAAUUCAACUUCUGUGUCCCCCAUUACUAGGAGUCUUUGCUAACAUUACUCUCAUAAGUUACAUGGGGGUUUCCAUUGCACUGGGCUUCUUCCUCACCCCCAAAAUGUCCCCAAUUUGGGGGCAUUUUAAAUUCCAUUUAGGGAAUUAAACCCUAAGAUGUGUGGGUAGUUUUAAA
rnacentral:sRNA from 1 species